rnacentral:rRNA from 1 species
AUUGAACGCUGGCGGCAUGCUUUACACAUGCAAGUCGAGCGGCAGCGCGGGGGCAACCCUGGCGGCGAGCGGCGGACGGGUGAGUAAUGCAUCGGAACGUAUCCCGUAGUGGGGGACAACCCAGCGAAAGCUGGGCUAAUACCGCAUAUGCUCUACGGAGGAAAGUGGGGGACCCGCAAGGGCCUCACGCUAUGGGAGCGGCCGAUGUCCGAUUAGCUAGUUGGUGGGGUAAAGGCCCACCAAGGCGACGAUCGGUAGCUGGUCUGAGAGGAUGAUCAGCCACACUGGGACUGAGACACGGCCCAGACUCCUACGGGAGGCAGCAGUGGGGAAUUUUGGACAAUGGGGGCAACCCUGAUCCAGCCAUGCCGCGUGCGGGAAGAAGGCCUCGG